rnacentral:rRNA from 1 species
CGCCUGCCAGUGACCAUGAGUUCAACGGCCGCGGUAUUCUGACCGCGCGAAGGUAGCGUAAUCACUUGUCUUCUAAAUAAAGACUAGUAUGAACGGCCACACGAGGACUUAACUGUCUCCCCUGUCCAAUCAGUGAAACUGAUCUCCUCGUGCAGAAGCGAGGAUAAUCCCAUAAGACGAGAAGACCCUAUGGAGCUUCAAACUUACAUCAACGACCCUUUAAUUUCCUCUAAGGAGCCAACAAAUUUCUCAACUGAUAUAAGUUUUAGGUUGGGGCGACCAUGGAGAAAAAAAUAACCUCCCUGAUGACUUUCUAACCGAGAGCCACAGCUCAAAGUAUUAAGACCCUUAACUUCCAUUGACCCACUUUGUGAUCAACGAACCAAGUUACCCUAGGGAUAACAGCGCAAUCCGUUUCAAGAGUCCCUAUCGACAAAUGGGUUUACGACCUCGAUGUUGGAUCAGGGCAUCCUAGUGGUGCAACCGCUACUAAUGGUUCGUUUGUUCAACGAUUAAAGCCCUACGUGAUUU